UACGUAGGGUGCGAGCGUUGUCCGGAAUUACUGGGCGUAAAGAGCUCGUAGGUGGUUUGUCGCGUUGUCCGUGAAAUUCCCUGGCUUAACUGGGGGCGUGCGGGCGAUACGGGCAGACUGGAGUACUGCAGGGGAGACUGGAAUUCCUGGUGUAGCGGUGGAAUGCGCAGAUAUCAGGAGGAACACCGUGGUGGUAGUGAUGCCGCUUAC
rnacentral:rRNA from 1 species